rnacentral:rRNA from 1 species
AUUGAACGCUGGCGGCAGGCUUAACACAUGCAAGUCGAACGAGUGGCGGACGGGUGAGUAAUGCUUGGGAAUCUAGCUUAUGGAGGGGGAUAAUUACGGGAAACUGUAGCUAAUACCGCGUACCAUAGGAUGAGCCCAAGUGGGUUUAGGUAGUUGGUGAGGUAAAGGCUAACCAAGCCGACGAUCUCUAGCUGGUCUGAGAGGAUGCCCAGCCAACCUGGGACUGAAACACGGCCCAGACUCCUACGGGAGGCAGCAGUGGGGAAAAGUGCGCAAUGGGGGCAACCUGACGCAGCCAUGCCGCGUGAAUGAAGAAGGCCUUCGGGUUGUAAAGGUCUUUCGGUAGCGAGGCGUUAACUACAGAAGAAGCACCGGCUAACUCCGUGCCAGCAGCCGCGGUAAUUC